rnacentral:rRNA from 1 species
CGCGAACCCUACGACCUUACGUUGUCCAGCAUUCAGUUGGGCACUCUAAGGUGACUGCCGGCUAAAAGUCGGAGGAAGGUGGGGAUGACGUCAAAUCAUCAUGCCCCUUAUGACCUGGGCUACACACGUGCUACAAUGGGCGGUACAAAGGGUCGCGAACCCGCGAGGGGGAGCCAAUCCCAAAAAGCCGCUCUCAGUUCGGAUUGCAGGCUGCAACUCGCCUGCAUGAAGCCGGAAUCGCUAGUAAUCGCGGAUCAGCAUGCCGCGGUGAAUACGUUCCCGGGCCUU